GAUGAACGCUGGCGGCGUGCCUAAUACAUGCAAGUCGAGCGAACGGACGAGAAGCUUGCUUCUCUGAUGUUAGCGGCGGACGGGUGAGUAACACGUGGAUAACCUACCUAUAAGACUGGGAUAACUUCGGGAAACCGGAGCUAAUACCGGAUGAUAUUUUGAACCGCAUGGUUCAAAAGUGAAAGACGGUCUUGCUGUCACUUAUAGAUGGAUCCGCGCUGCAUUAGCUAGUUGGUAAGGUAACGGCUUACCAAGGCAACGAUGCAUAGCCGACCUGAGAGGGUGAUCGGACACACUGGAACUGAGACACGGUCCAGACUCCUACGGGAGGCAGCAGUAGGGAAUCUUCCGCAAUGGGCGGAAGCCUGACGGAGCCACGCCGCGUGAGUGAUGAAGGUCUUCGGUUCGUAAAACUCUGUUAUUAGGGAAGAACAUAUGUGUAAGUAACUGUGCACAUCUUGACGGUACCUAAUCAGAAAGCAACGGCUAACUACGUG
rnacentral:rRNA from 1 species